rnacentral:rRNA from 1 species
AGGGGAUCUUCGGACCUUGCGCUAAUAGAUGAGCCUAAGUCGGAUUAGCUAGUUGGUGGGGUAAAGGCCUACCAAGGCGACGAUCUGUAGCGGGUCUGAGAGGAUGAUCCGCCACACUGGGACUGAGACACGGCCCAGACUCCUACGGGAGGCAGCAGUGGGGAAUAUUGGACAAUGGGGGGAACCCUGAUCCAGCCAUGCCGCGUGUGUGAAGAAGGCCUUAUGGUUGUAAAGCACUUUAAGCGAGGAGGAGGUUACUGAGACUAAUACUCUUGGAUAGUGGACGUUACUCGCAGAAUAAGCACCGGCUAACUCUGUGCCUGCAGCCGCGGUAAUACAGAGGGUGCGAGCGUUAAUCGGAUUUACUGGGCGUAAAGCGUGCGUAGGCGGCUUCUUAAGUCGGAUGUGAAAUCCCCGAGCUUAACUUGGGAAUUGCAUUCGAUACUGGGAAGCUAGAGUAUGGGAGAGGAUGGUAGAAUUCCAGGUGUAGCGGUGAAAUGCGUAGAGAUCUGGAGGAAUACCGAUGGCGAAGGCAGCCAUCUGGCCUAAUACUGACGCUGAGGUACGAAAGCAUGGGGAGCAAACAGGAUUAGAUACCCUGGUAGUCCAUGCCGUAAACGAUGUCUACUAGC